ensembl:lncRNA
CUCCUGGUAAUCUUUUCACUAGUUUCCAACUUUCAUAAACAUACAGUCUAGGUAUCAGAACUGCAUACCUACCUCCAGUCACAAAUUACUGACUAAUCCACUUAUUUAUCAAAUAUAUUGUAAAUCUCCAAAGUGCCAGGCAUUGUGCUGGACCCAUAAAGUCUCAGUCCCUCUUGACUGUCCCCGUCUUGAGGGAAGGGGUCAUCUUCACAGCCCAGCACACAGCACCGUGCCAGGCACAUGGUAUGUAUGACAAAUGAUCGGAAUCAGGCUUAUUAAUGGAAAGAACAUUUUAAAGGAAAACACCAUCUCUUCAGAGAACUAGGAAGAAUUCUAUCAUUCCCACACUAUCUGAUUCUCCUCUUUGACUCAGCCUUUCUCUCCCCUCAUAAGUGGGUUGGGACUUGAAAGGCAUCACAGAAAGAUUAAAGGUGUGGAAACUCUCCACGUUUAGCAUUGCCUGUGGGCCCCAGCUUUGAAUAACAGAGCAGAGGCGGAUGAAAGAGGCCACUGCCCACGACCCGAAUUUCCUCCACACUUAAGUGGAGUUCUUAUAAAAGUCACCAGAUGCGCAAAGAUGGGACAUGAAAGGAAGAAACUCAGAUCUCUGAGCAAAACCACAUGGGUUAUUUAAAGCCUUGAGGGCUGCCUUUGCGGGAACAUUUUUUAGUCCAAGGCUGAGUACUAGAAAGUGAGGCCCAAGAGUGAGCUCCACCCACCAUGUCUCUGAAACGGAGUAGGGGGAGAGUGAGGGGCCUUGGAAGGUCAAGGAUGAAUGCUAAGGGCAUCCAGGCGAGCGCUCCUCCUACUUGCCUCACAAAACCCACUGUAGGCUGCUUCUCCAGUCAAGACUGGAUGGGUUUACAAGUUUCUUCCUAGCGAGGACUCUGUAGCUGAUGCCUAACAGAUAAAGAACUGCAUUAUCCAGUCUGUGACCUCUAAGGAAUGAAUCAUCCAAAGGGCCCCAAGGAAGGCUGGAUAUUAGAUAUAAAACAUGAAACAUUUUCAGUUGUAACUUGUCUGCUCUUUGUCAUCCCCCCUCCCCCGCCCCAUUGAUUUAAACUCAAUAUACAGCACUUUAUUAUUGUUUUCCUAUCUCUAUUACAGGCUGAGUCGUGUUGUGUUAUAUUACUUUAUAUGUCUGUCUCCCCUGCUCUCUGCGAGCUUCUCAGGGGUGGGCCUGUGUAUCCAGUGCCUGGAACAAUCCCGAGAUACAGGCAGUGUUCGACAUAGGCUUGUGUAGUCAGUAAACCAAUUAAUUCAUUUGUUAAUGGGUCAGGAUGGGGAGAAAGAUGGGAGGGGAAUGGAGACCAGGAUAGGUGCUUAAAGAACAAAAAAAUACACCUUAGAGAAGGGGCCACAGUGACGUGACAAAAUAAGGACCAAUCCCCGGAUGAUCACAGGCUCUUUCUUCUCAGGUGGAAGAUCUGGUUAAAUUACUCUGCACCUUCUUAAGUUAAAAAAGAAACAUGGGCGUUCCCAUCGUGGUGCAGUGGUUAACGAAUCCGACUAGGAACCAUGAGGUUGCGGGUUCGGUCCCUGCCCUUGCUCAGUGGGUUAACGAUCCGGCGUUGCUGUGAGCUGUGGUGUAGGUUGCAGACGCAGCUCAGAUCCCGCAUUGCUGUGUCUCUGGUGUAGGCCGGUGGCUACAGCUCUGAUUAGACCCCUAGCCUGGGAACCUCCAUAUGUCGCGGGAGCGGCCCAAGAAAU